rnacentral:rRNA from 1 species
UUCCAGACUCCUACGGGAGGCAGCAGUGAGGAAUAUUGGUCAAUGGCCGAGAGGCCGAACCAGCCAAGUCGCGUGAGGGAAGACGGCCCUACGGGUUGUAAACCUCUUUUGUCGGGGAGCAAAGCGAACCACGUGUGGUUCAUUGAGAGUACCCGAAGAAAAAGCAUCGGCUAACUCCGCGCCAGCAGCCGCGGUAAUACGUAGGGGGCAAGCGUUAUCCGGAUUUACUGGGUGUAAAGGGAGCGUAGACGGUGAUGCAAGUCAGAAGUGAAAGCCCGGGGCUCAACUCCGGGACUGCUUUUGAAACUGUGUGACUGGAGUGCAGGAGAGGUAAGCGGAAUUCCUGGUGUAGCGGUGAAAUGCGUAGAUAUCAGGAGGAACACCAGUGGCGAAGGCGGCUUACUGGACUGUAACUGACGUUGAGGCUCGAAAGCGUGGGGAGCAAACAGGAUUAGAUACCCCAGUA